AUAGUACUCCCUCCGUCUCAAAUUUUUUGUCUUAAAUUUGUUUAUGUAUGAAUGUAUCUAAUCAAGUAUUAGUAUUUACAUACAUUCAUUUCUAGACAAAGUUAAAAUAAAAUUUUUGGGAUGAAGGGAGUACUAC
rfam:Hordeum vulgare subsp. vulgare, WGS project CAJW01000000 data, contig: morex_contig_283295